GUUAAAUUCACACACACUAGUUUGAUCCCAUAUAGACUAGAUUAGCAUGACCCUUGUAUAAGGAUAAUAUACAAAUUUGUGAAAAUUUCAUUUUUUUU
rnacentral:snRNA from 1 species